CCUGACUGUCCCAGCCAUUGGAGAGAGCCCAGUGCUGGUAGCCUUCGACGGGGAUGAGGGCGUCGUGACGCGGCUCCGGGUGCCCGCUGAUCCCGGGCAUCACCGACACGUCCAGUGCUUCCACCUCCCUCCCUACAUUCCCUCUACGCAUGCGGAGACACUUCAUUAAGAAAUCCGCCGGCUCCCGCUCUCCACCUCUCAGCACCCCUCCCGCGCCCAUGUGACCCGCUCUGCGCACGUGAUGCCCCGGCCAGGUCUCCUGGGGUUCCCUCCCCUCGAGGUGGGGCGGGGCGAAAGGGAAAAGGUCUCUGCUGAUUGGAUCUCAGGUUUUAAAUGCUGAGUGCUCGUGUGCAGCCAGCGCACAGACCAUGGCCACAGAGCAGCGCCUCUCUCAGCCAGACCUACUGCACCCCUCAAAUGGAGAGCAAAUGGACAGGUCUGCAGAGACCCCUUCGGGCCACCUCCCUCCUCUUUGUGGGGAGAAGGUGGUGUUUGACGGUUGAGAGCACCCGGACAUCGGAGCACUAUGCGGCCAUAAUUUAGUGGCGAGAAGAAAGAAAGGGAACCAUAGUCCUCUUCCUCAAGAAGACCAGCCGAAGUUGUAGGCCCCUAAAGCGACUUGGAGGAGUGGGAAGGCUGGAGGGGAAAGUUUGGGCUAAGGGCGCUAAAGGCGGCUGGGGAAGUCCGCUUGCUCUGAACAAUUCCCUCUUCUUUUGCUUGGUUCCCCAAGACCUUUCGCGCCUGCAAACGCAGUCUCCAAGUCUGGGGCGAGCCGGGAUCGGGAAGGGAGGCGCCGAGGCAAGAGCCUGCAGGAGGGCGGUGGAAAGUAAAGCCUUGCUGGUUAAUUAACUUUAAGCCUGGGGUGGUUUCUUCCCCCUCCCCCGAAAAAAAAAUGUGGAUCUCGCUGAGACACAAGUAAAAUCAAAUUAAACACUCCAGGAGAAUAUGCACCACUAGAAACAUAGUAAUUACAUCUCCAAGGUGAUCUCGCCCUAGAAAGCCUUCACAGGGCCUGGCGCUGAAACCCUCGGCUGCGGUGCUCACCGGGGCGCGCCCCGCCGGCCUUCGGGGAUGAGGCAGUGAGGUUUGACUGUGGAUGAAGUUUAGAGAAAAUCCAGCUGCUGGUAUGCGGAGAAAGACGGAGCAUUUAAUUAUACGAAAGGAAAAUGGAAAACGGCUCCUCAGCCUCGUCGGGAAGCCCCGGCUCUGCUCUCGGCUGCUUUUUCAAAGGGACUUCUACAACCGCGGAGCGGCAGAAGCCACUCUGCCCUCAGCUACAGCUCAUGAACCAAGCUCUCGGCUAAGUUCAACUCUGAAAUGUUUUCUUUUAAAUGCUCCAACACAGAAAGGAGAUAUUUAAUAUGCUUUUUCACGGGAAGCGUCUGUGUGUGUGUGUGCGAGCGCGCGUGCGUGCCUGUGAGUUUAGGGAUGGGUGCAGGCUGCCUGCACCGUUUCAGCACACGGCCUUGUGGACACAGCCCAAAUGAGUUCCUAAAGAUACCCAGCUCUCUGCCUAAAUCCUCUGUAUGCAAAUAAAGGUCUCUGCUUGUCUGUCU